CCAUUAGAGUUAAUGUAUUUCAUUGACAAUGGACCCCUCUUAAUAACUCUAUGCCUACAGUUGCAACAUUAGGUUCGGUCCAUGGACAGGUUUUCAAAAUUUUCUUCUAAUUCAAAUUAGUAUGUCAUAUUAAAUUAUCUUGAAAGACAACAAUCUCUGGAAAACAGUGAUAGAGAGAAAAACUCUAGAAAACAGUGAUAGAGAGAAAAACAUUAAUGAAGUUACUAAAAAACAUUAUAUAUAUAUAUAUAACUGUUGGCAUGGGAGUAGCAAAAAAACCAGCUGCCUACAAGUGGUUUGUGCUUUUUUGGCUUUAGAAAUUCAUCUGCAAAAAGUAAAUAUUUGCAGAAAAGAGAAGAAGGAAAAGUACCACAUGCCACUGCAUGAAUAAUUUGGAGCACACAGUAAAUACUAGCCAUUUUAUCAGCCAUUUGCCAACAAUUUACAGGAAAUUUAAUUCAAAACCUCUCAAGCUGGAAAAAACCUGUAACAUAGCCAACACACAAAAAGAUCAGCUAUGUAUAAUUUGGACUCCAGUGUAUAGGCAGACUUACACUGGGGAAAAGACCAAAUACAAAAAGACCACUACAAUUACUUGUAGUGGGAAGAAAAUCUUUUCUCAACAUUUUCAGUGAAAGCAAUUGAAAACUUUAAAAUAGAUUGUGUGAGGUAGGGUUUUCAGAUUUUGGAGAUGACAACUCAAAAAAACUUGCUCUAGUUUAGAGUACAGGGUUUCAAUCCUAAAGUCCAGAAUAUAUAUUAACAUUUGUAUGAGAACAUCUUGUUUUUCUUCACUCUGAGGUUUUCUCCCCUAAAGAUGUAAAAAACCAACCCAAAUAUAGUUAGUAGUAAUACAUUUUCUAACUGACCAAAACUGACUUGGCAAUCUAUCAAUGCAUUUUCUUGGAAAUCAUUGGGUUUUUAAAAUAUUCUAAGAACAUUGUAGCAUGAGCAUUUAACUUCCAACUUAAUCUUCCUUCGCAUCCUGUUAACAUGGCAUGUCAAAGACAUAUAUAGGACUAAACAGAGCCUACUGUAGCCUAUCUAUUGCUCCCAAACUUCAAGUACUUCCAAACUGUCAUUAAAUAAUUCUGUUCUGUGUGCAGUGAAGACCUCUACUAGUGACAAGAGUGGGGACUUAUUUAAAUCUUCAUGUGUUUCUGUUUGCCACAGAAGACUUAUGACAUAAUAAGGUCUAUGCUGACCACUGCUGAAAAAUCUACAGGUUUUUGGAGGUUUGUUCUUAAAAACAUCUACACAAAAGUGAAAAAUUGUGUGUAUAAAUGAAAACUAUUUCUGCUUCAGUACUAAAUUAUUUUUUAACAUUUCUCUAAGUCUAGAGUUCUUAUACCAAAUGUUACUGUAAAUUUUUUUUACUCAUUAAGGGUUAUACAAUUUUUGGUGUUUCUUGGAAUAAGAGAAGGAUGAUGCCUCUUGAACUUGAAAUGGCAAAAGAUGUACUCCUUUCACUUGCUAGGGGACAUACAGGACCACAAAAGGCAUUCAGCAAAAAGGGUCCACUGGACAGUAAUAUAUUGAAGCCAUACAAGGAGUGGCUGAGGUCACUUGUUCUUUCCAACCUGAAGGAGACUGAGGAGAGACCUCAUUGCAGUUACAACUUCCUCACAAGGGGAAGAUGAAGGACAGGCACUGAUCUCUUCACCGUGACAGGACCAGUGACAGGACCAAAGGGAAUGGCCUGAAGUUGUGCCAGGGAAGGUCUAGGUUGGAUAUCAAGAAAAGGCUCUUCACCCGGAAAGUGGCUGGGCAUUGGACAAGGCUCCCCAGGGAAGUAGUCACAGCACCAGCCUGACAGAGCUCAUGAUGCAUGUGGAUAAUGCUCUCAGGCACAUGGUGUGAUAAUCAUUAUGACCAGAGCCAGGAGUUGGGCUAAAUGAUCCUUGUGGGACCUUUCCAACUCAGGAUGGUCUAUAAUUCUAACACCUUGAGGUGCUGUAAGCCAUGCACAUUAACAGCAAGUAGAGGAAAAUACAGAGGCUGUCAGGAUAUCUUCUUGGACUACAGUGGUUUAUCUUUAUUGCACGCAAAUGUUUUGUGUAGCCUCCAUACUUGAAGGUACUGAAAACCCAAAAGAAUAAAACCCUCAGAAAGCAGCUCUGUUUGCCCCUACUUUGAGCAAGGAAGCAUGGAGGUAACAAACACACAGAGAUCUGUUUCAACCUCAACUAUACUGUGAUUCUGUGAAAUAAAAAUUAAGAAAAUAUUAUGGGUUUUAUAUUGAUUAAUUAAUUACUCUGACUUUUCUAAAUCACUUAUUUUGAAAUAAUUAUAUUUUCUCUUUGAAUGUAGAAUAAAACCAGAUAUGUAGAAGAGAUGUGGCUGAAUGAGACAAAAGACAAUUACAUUUUAAUCGAAUUUUGCUGAUAGAUUCCUGUAAAUUUUGUGACAACACUUCAGAAGAGUUGGUGUUCGUACAGACAAUCCUUCUAACUUGUACUUUUCAAAUGUUUCCCAGUCUUUCCAAUAUUCCUCAUUGAUGGACUGGUUCAGUAGCAUGUAAGAGUUGUCUUAAGGUGUGUUCUAUCUGCAAGGUCUGUCUAUGUGUAAGGUGACUAUGCUUUGCCACAGAUUCUUUCACACAAUCCACUAGGAACAGUGACAUACAACACAUACUGUAGAAUUGUUGAUAUCAUGAACAUAUUUGGAGGAGUUCUCUUUUCCCCUGUCAGAAGCAGACAUAUCACAAAGAUAUGAAUCUGUGUGACUACAGUUUUAGCCCUUGCCCUGAUUUGUCUUGUCUGAUAUGAUAUAACACAGUAUUUACAGUUAAUGAUUAUAAAGGAACUAAAUGGAACUAAAUUCACUAAAUGUGAAUGGAACAAAGAUUUAAGUCAUCCAAACAUUGGCUCUCUAUGUAUUUUAAUCACUUCACCUAAUCAUUCUCAAAACCUCUCUUUGCUAUGAAAAUUAUAUCCUGGUAUUUUAUCUCCACUAUCCAGCAUUGGGAAGCGGAAAUAAUUGCCAUUCCUAUAAUACCACAAAAAUUUUAAAAAAACUUCAGGUACACAAUCAGACACAGUAAAACAUUAUUGCAAAACCUUUCACACAAAUAAAUGUUAGGUAUGUAUGAAGCAAUUUUGUUGCCUUUCCUGUGUUGCACAAUUACAGAGAGCAGAAUGAAAAUAACAGUGUUGGAGACGACUAAGUUCCUGCUACUAGUUUUCUAAGGGACUGAUGCAUAUGUAGUUGCGUUGUCUGUUUGUCCUCUCCAGCCACUUUUUAAUCUGCCGGAUAAUUUUGACUAUGUUGGUCAAGGAUGUGGAAGGAGGAAGUCUAGUUGAAAAAAAUAGGCAUUUUUUAAAGUUCUGUGAACAUCAGAAGCUGAGCAGCAGACACACUGAAAAACAUUGCUAAAUUAAAUACUGCAGCCUGAUCUCAUCAGUUAUUUUUCCAGCUAGGUUAAGGACCUAGUUAUCGGCCUGUAUAUACUGAGUGUCCAGCUGUCAGGUGCAAAUGGGAACAAACAAGGGAUCUGAACUCUGGAGUUUAUUACAGAACCAAAGAGAUUAGAUAUUUUACCCUACUUGAUUAUCUGGCACAAUCAUUCCCUCGUGUCACAUUCCUAGCUCUCAACUUGUGCUCUCUGAAGGAAGGUCUCUGCUGGCAGUCUGGCAUGGUUGGGUGGGAAAUCAUGUUGAUUCCUGCUGUGCCACUUCCUGCAGCAGCCAGCUGUGUUAGGCAUAAGUAGGCAAAGUACCCGGGCAUCCAACAGCACUCAUCUCCAUACAGUAUUCAUCUCCAUACAGCUCUCAUGCAGCAGACUCCAAAAGCCAUCUAGAAUGAAGAAAAAAACAUUUGAAUGUGCUCAAUUGCUUUAUUCUUUCUCUAAUUCUAAAAAGAUAUAACAGAAAUAUGGAUCAUAACAUGUUAUGUUAAUUUAAAAAUACAUAUUCAUGGUCUUUGUUAGAGAGUGGAUUUUUGAUUAAUUGCAACACAUUGCAAAAUUUUAAUUCUGCUUGAAGUUGCUGAGAAUUAUUUAUUUUAAGGGGAACUGUACUUUUUGAAUACUAUAUGCUGCAGAAGCUUGAACACAAAACAGCUUAAGCUUUGAGGACUCAAAAAAGGAGGAAUGUCUCUAAAGUGUAAAACUCAAAGACAAUUUGUUUUCUGUCUGUACUCUAAUUGGCAAUGAGGACAUCACUAGUGCUAAAAAGUAGCACUGUUUCCUUAAAAGGGAGAAAUAUACAAUUAAAGGUGGUGGAACAUGAGAGAAGAUGAAAAAGAUCAGCAGAAUAGCUCAUCUGAAACAUUUCAAAGAUUGAUUAUUUUCUUCACACUCCAGAGCCCCUGUUUCUUCCCCAAGAAUUUUUAUGCAUCUCAUAAAAGGAAAUUUCAAAUGGCAGACCUACAAAUGGAAAGCAUAUUGUUAGUGUUUUCUAGAUUUUGGUGUUAAUUUUCUUUACCAUUGCUAUAUGUAAGCAGAAGAAACAUGUAACUACUUGAGCAUCCAGUUUGAAUGGCUCUGGUGGCAACUUUAAAUCACUCACCUCACAGAAGAGUUCAAGGACCCUUAAUGUGGGCUAUAUUCUGUGUCACCAUCAGGAACACUUUGGACCUCUGGCUUUAAUGUAUGAAAUAGAAGAGCAGAAUGAAGGAAAAUGGGAGCCACUCAGUCACUAUUUAUGACACUGCUAGGAGAAGAAAAUCAUACUCCGAGUGAAUGUGUAUUAUAUUAAAAAAUAUUUUUUUUCUGACUUGUGAAGCAUAACCUAAAGUUGAAGGUGGAAGGUACUUUGUAUUCCUCCUUUACCACCCUUGAAGCAGAGAAUGUGAUUUCAAGGUACAGGAAUUCAGGCCUUCACAGAAAGAAACAGUAAAUUUUACUUAUCUUCCUAAACAUGCUGUCCUACUGCUACAGCAACAAUCCUUCUUUUUUCAUUCUUCAUUCUGUAACAGGCAGCUCUGACCUGUUAGAAAACAACCCUUCACUGCCCUAAUAUAUUAUAAUUCUGCCAGUCUAAACUAUUCUUUGAGGGUGGUAAUAUCUUCUUUUACAAAAAUGCUACAGUUCUCUUGUCUAUAGGAUAGAAAAUGACUAGAAAGCCUUUGGCUGUAGGAACUGUGGACUAAAAUAUUCUUUUUGUAUAUAUUUUACACAUUUUCUGAGAGUUAUAUAUAAGACUCUAAAAAUGCACAUACAAAAUCUUGGUAAGUGUAGAAAAUGGCUACAAGUAACUCAGGGAUUUAAAGCAGCUGGGGUUUGCUUAGGUAUUAAUCAUCUUAAUCUAUACAGUAUUUGUAAUGUCUCUGUAGUUUAAUAACACAAAUUUCAGAUUGAAAGCAAAUGUAAAGACAAAGUAUCUGGUAAGGACAGAUGAUAAAAACUUACACCCAAAUGAAAAUUUAGGAAGAGGAUUAUUAUUUAUAUUGUCAUUGCGUGUCUGUAGAAACUGUGGGUGCUUUCAUGGUCAGGUUGAGAUACUCUCUUUACUUUAGAUCCCUGAAUGUGACCUCCAUGACCUGCUGAUGCUCUGUCACUCAAAAUUCACAUCAGAGGUGAAGGAUACUGCUCAUGUCUGACAGUUGUCGCUUUUCCUUUGCUAGAUCAUCCUAUCCUUUGUGAACUGUAUAUGGAAAAUUACUCUUUCCCAAGCAUAUCUCAUGUUUCUUUCUCAUGGUGCAUGUUUAUCCACUUGACAUUUGCACUGUUCUGUACACACCUAAGACACUGUGGGUAAUAGUAUAACAAUAAAAUUUCUUGCUGUCACAUCAUAUCUUGAUGUGAUAACAUCAAGGCAGAGAUGCUCACUUAGAGUAAUAUUCUUUGAGACAAUCAUGCAUAUCCAAACUUGCAUGAUUAAAAUGUAUGCAAAUCUCCAUCACACAUUUUGCAAAAAUUUUAUAUUCUGUCCUAGGGUGACUGUUAUGGUGUUUGUAUCUCCAAUCGUGUGUUCUGUUUACGUUUGAUAUUAUGUUCUGUGCUUUCAGAACUGACUCUGAAAGUGAAGGUUUGUUUUGCCGUGUUAUCAUCUGGUUCACCUCCCCCCAUGGUCUGCUGUCUAGAAAAGGCUAGGGCUGGCUGGCUGGCUUUGCUUUUGCUUGCUUGCUUGCUUGCUUGGCUUGCUUGCUUUGCCUGCUUUCUUGCUUUGCU
ensembl:lncRNA